CCUACGGGAGGCAGCAGUGAGGAAUAUUGGUCAAUGGGCGCGAGCCUGAACCAGCCAAGUAGCGUGAAGGAUGACUGCCCUACGGGUCGUAAACUUCUUUUAUAAAGGAAUAAAGUGAGGCACGUGUGCCUUUUUGUAUGUACUUUAUGAAUAAGGAUCGGCUAACUCCGUGCCAGCAGCCGCGGUAAUACGGAGGAUCCGAGCGUUAUCCGGAUUUAUUGGGUUUAAAGGGUGCGUAGAUGGGUUGUUAAGUCAGUUGUGAAAGUUUGCGGCUCAACCGUAAAAUUGCAAUUGAUACUGGCAGUCUUGAGUACAGUUGAGGUAGGCGGAAUUCGUGGUGUAGCGGUGAAAUGCAUAGAUAUCACGAAGAACUCCGAUUGCGAAGGCAGCUUACUAAGCCGCCACUGACAUUGAUGCUCGAAAGUGUGGGUAUCAAACAGGAUUAGAUACCCCUGUAGUC
rnacentral:rRNA from 1 species